UUAUUUUGAUUGUUCUAUUCCGUGUAUUAGAUCCUUGCAAAUCGUGCCAUAAAAUUGCCGAGUUAAUCAAAGUUAAUUGAUCACUUAGACUCCGUUUGCGGAUACGAGUAGCAAUUUAAAACUAACUGCAUUUAUGUUUAUUAAAAGUAACGCACACUAAAAACGUAAAAUUGACCAAUAUAACGGCAAGACAAUGCAUGAUAUUUCGCUCUCACUCACAUUCUAUUAUUACUCGUAUAGUAUCUCUACUGCGUCACGCAACCACGCUACCACUUUGCAUAUGUGAGUGUUACGCUGAAAAAAAUAUGCGACAAAUGCUACUUGAGAGACGAGAAUGGGAAAAUGUCAGUUUGGUUUUAAGACAGAUAUAUUGUUACGGGAAUAGCUGUGUAUCUCGUACUUGACGAUUCCUGCAACAUUUUAGUCGUUCGGCAUGUUUAUAAAACAACUGUUCACAAAUUGCCGUUAAACAAUCCUUUGCAAGAGAGUCGUUAUCAUAAUGACUGGUUACAAAAUGGGAAGGUCUUAAUAAUUUAGAAGAACUUAACAAAGCAGACCCAUAGUACAUGUAACAUAUGUCACUUGUAUUACUGCUCUUGAACAAAAGCUAGGAUAUCAUGCUGGUACAUGUUUUGCGAGAAUACAAUGUCAAUAAGAUAUUUUUAUCACGUUUGGGCCUUUGGCCAUUUCAAAGUAAGCUCGUGAGAGAUUUGUUACCGACUUUUUAUCUCAUGCUUGAAAUUAGUUUCUAUCCGUUCGAGAUAUUAAUGGUAUACCAUCAUCGGGAUGACACGCAAAUGGUUUUCGAAGGUUGCUAUCAAUUGGUCAUAUCGUCUGCUUUUCUAGUACGACUUUGGAAUGAGAUUUGGAAUCGUAACAAGUUUCAAUGUUUAUACGAGGCUAUGAACGAUCAUUGGAAUAUAUUCACGAAUGAUUUGGAAGUGCGAAUUCUGAAAGAUUAUUCCAUUAUAUCACAAAAGUUUACGAUAUUUUACUCAAUUAUGAUGUAUCUUCUGAGUUCAAUGUUUAUAGUGAUUCCAUUGACACCGGCGUUCUUAGAUAUCGUGUUGCCUCUUAAUGAAUCGCGUCCACGAAUUCUGGCGGUCGAAGUUGAUUCCAGAAUAGAUAAAGACAAGCAUUUCGUGCCGCUUUUUUGUUACACUACUGCUAUAAUUGUGGUGGGUAUAAGCAUUAUGGUGGGCGCCGACACAAUGCAUUUCACGUGCACCAAUCAUGCGUGCAGUUUAUUCGCAAUUAUCGGUGAGCAAAUUGAAAAUAUUAAGUUAAAACUAGAUAUGGAAAAAUGCGAAUGUUGCAUGAAUAAAAAAUUUAAAUCGUCAAACGAACGGGCGAUAUAUCAAGAAUACAUUACAUGUUUAAAAAAAUACCAGCUGGCAUUAAAAUUCGUCGAUAUACUGAAUUCGACGCAUCAAACAGUUGCAGUGUUUUUUUUAUUAUUAAUUGGUGCAACCUUAAGUCUGAUUGGGAUUCGAAUACGCGGCAAAAUGGUACAUGUAUUCACCCAGAAUGAGAUCGUUGUUAAUCAUAACACUUUAUCGGAGUAACAUACCGUGCAGUUUGACUGCAGGUAAAUUAAUUCCGUUAUCGAUGACAACUUACGCCGCGGUAGUGCGAGCGGGCAUGUCUUAUUUCACGGCAUUCCUAUCAAUUAAAGACUAAUUAAUUUCAAAUGAUUCGAACUAAUCUCUCGCGACAUCUGUUCCUGCGUCAUUCUUCAAAGAUAUUUUU
rnacentral:misc_RNA from 1 species